rnacentral:rRNA from 1 species
ACGUGAGAAUUUACCUUUAGGAGGGGGAUAACAAUCGGAAACGAAUGCUAAUACCCAAUAUGCUUUCGAGUGAAAUGGAUUUAUAUUUAUCCGCCUAGAGAGAAGCUCGCGGCUGAUUAGCUUGUUGGUAAGGUAAGAGCUUACCAAGGCGACGAUCUGUAGCUGGUCUGAGAGGACGACCAGCCACACUGGGACUGAGACACGGCCCAGACUCCUACGGGAGGCAGCAGUGGGGAAUUUUGGACAAUGGGCGCAAGCCUGAUCCAGCCAUGCCGCGUGCGGGAAGAAGGCCUCGGUUGU